rnacentral:rRNA from 1 species
AAUAUUGCGCAAUGGGGGGAACCCUGACGCAGCAACGCCGCGUGAGCGAGGUAGUCCUUCGGGUCGCAAAGCUCUGUCUACAGGUAUCAUAGUGACAGUACCUCUGGCGGAAGCCCCGGCUAACUAUGUGCCAGCAGCCGCGGUAAUACGUAGGGGGCAAGCGUUGUCCGGAUUUACUGGGAGUAAAGGGCGCGUAGGCGGUAGCAUAAGUCAGAUGUGAAAGUCCAGGGCUCAACCGUGGAAUUGCAUUUGAAACUGUACUACUUGAGUGCAGGAGAGGAGAGCGGAAUUCCUAGUGUAGCGGUGAAAUGCGUAGGGAUUAGGAAGAACACCAGUGGCGAAGGCGGCUCUCUGGACUGUAACUGACGCUGAGGCGCGAAAGCGUGGGUAGCGAAC